CUUUAUUAGGGGUGACGCCUGCCCAAUGAUUUGUCCUAAACUGAAACCCCUUAGUGAACCCAAAUUCAAUGGCCGCGGUAUUUCUGACCGUGAUAAUGUAGCGAAAUCAAUCGUCAUUUAAUUGCUGACCGGUAUGAAAGGUAGUACGAAUGUUCCCCUGUCUCAAAGAAAGACUCCAUGAAAUUGUAAGGACCGUGCAUAUACGGUCUCACUCUUGUAAGACGAAAAGACCCUAUUGAGCUUUACUAUCCGCUCCCCCCACCACUGAAACUAGGCCAACCGCUCUAUCCUUCAGGCCUCGGGGAGCCCGUUAGUUUCGUUGGGGCGACGGCCUUUUAAAAAGUAACAAAGGCUAACAAAGAUCUUUUAGACUAAUCUAUAGCAUUUGACUGCCAGGGCUAUACCCCGAACAGACACCUCCGUGGGUGAUAGAUUUCCACUUCUCUAGAUUGGAGCAGUGCCAAAACAUAAAAGUUACCAUAGGGAUAACAGCGUAAUUUUACCGAAGAGUUCUUAUCGAUGGUAAAGAUUGCGACCUCGAUGUUGAAUUGUGGUAUCCUGAGGGUGCAGCAGCUCUC
rnacentral:rRNA from 1 species